AAUAAGAAAUUUAGAUAAAAAGAUAAAACGAGGUUCGUUUCUUCUUCUUACAUUGAAAUUUAACUUUGACCAAAUUUUUUUUCCUUCUCCACUCUCAAAAUAUGCAUGUGAAACAAACUCUCUAUUAGUUUGGAUGAAAUUUUUUUUUUCCCUUCUUCUUACAAUGCUAAAUAUGUAUUAUUUGAAUUGUUUAAAUGGUUGAGCUUCUGUGCCUAGAAAUUCUUUGCAGGAAGUUGCUGAACCAAUGCACAUAGGUGGAAAAUGGAGGCCAUUGAGAAAUGUGAUGUGAUGGUGUACAUGAAGAUCUUCAAGUUUCCAUAUAAGUUCUGGCAUUGUGGACCCGAAAAAGAGUUCUUUAUAUAUGCCCACGAGUGGAGAGGUUACUACACGUUCUGGCAGGCCUUUAGAUUCACUCUUCAAUGAUCAUGGGCAGCUUGUACCUCAGAGGCCACGACCACCUCCUUUUUUCCCAGAAAACCAUCAUUCUGUUGACAAUUUUGGUCCUUUUGUUGAAACUCAGAGACUCCCACAGGAUAUCGUGCAUUAGGACCCAUGGCUGGGGUUAAGGUUUGGGCUGCAAGUACCUUGACAACGUCUACCAGGAUGGGCAUAUAUCGGGACUAUUAGAACUGCUGUAUCUCCCCCUGUAUGGGGUAACCAGGCAAAGUUGCCAAGCAAUUUUAGCAACUCAUGGACUCGCCAAGAGCAACCUGCAGUCUUACCUUAUGAUUCUAGAAAAAAAAUUUGCAACCAAGAAUGUGGAUGCUCAGGCUACAAAAAGAACCAGGUCCCCACCUAUACCAUCUGUGUAUGAAGUUUCUCAGGAAAAUUCUCAUCUUAGUCGAAAUGACAAAAUUCAAGCUGUGCUUGAGGCAGGUGUCUGUCCACGGCUUGUGGAGCUUCUGUUGUAUGUUCCUAUUUGCUUCAUACUUCUUCAUUGUGACAUUGAUUUUAAAUUUGGUAUGUCUUUUAGUUUUCUAGAAUUAGUUCUUCAAAAAAAAUUCUCUUUUUUUGCAAAUUAGUGGAAUU